GCUUUCGCCCGCGAGGUAGUUGGCCGACGUUGCGCAAGGACGAAAGUGCUGGCGGGUGGCCGCGGCGUCUCCGCGAGCCCCCCGACGAGGCCGGGCGGGCUGCUGGCUGGCGGAUUUCACCGCGAUUCCCCCGGAGGCUCUUUGCAAAGCUGCUUGAAACUUCUCCCAAACUCGCCAUGGAUGUGGCGGCCGCUGCGUUGCCUGCUUUUGUAGCUCUCUGGCUUCUGUACCCGUGGCCUCUCCUGGGGUCGGCCCUUGGCCAGUUCUCAGCAGGUGAGAGGUUGGGGGUGGUCUGUGUCUGUCCACAGUCUUGGACUCAGGCAGGAAGGACUGACUGAUUGCUGGUGCUGGGUUCGGGGAUCCAGGGGGCGUCCGCUUAAGGUGGCGGGGGUGGUGGUGGUGCAGGUUGGAGCUAGGUCUGUCCUGGGAGUUUGUGUCAGGCGGGACGCAGGGCCAAGAGCUGUGCGCCCCCGUGCGCAGGUAACUUUUACGUUCUCGACCCAUUGUUUCUGAGGCUAGUCCGGCGCGCAGACAGCCCAGGGUGUGCUGGAUGGAGUGUGUGGCGACCUUGCUUUUCCUGGGUGUUCUUUUUGCCUGGGAGUCGGGAGCAGUCCACAGCAUUAGUUAGGGAAGUGAGGAAGAAAAAGUACUUAGGGCUCCCGGGACCACGAUUUUAUGGCUCGCUGAGCUGGCUAGUGGCUCUCUGUCGCCAGACUGUUCAAAAUUUCCCCGGGAAGUCUUUGUGAGAAUUGUGGAGACACAUAGGGACCGAUCUCGGUGUGUUCUGCCAGGUGCUUUUUGUCCCGGGUAUAACCGCCUCUGACUAUUGUCCAGCUACUUCCCGGUGCCUCCUGGAGGCUCCUUCCUCCUCUGCUGAGGGUUCAGAGUUGCUCCUGGAUAGAUUACAGAGCACACAGCGUGGAGCACGUUGUAUGUAUACAUUGGCAGAGUCCGUACGACGUUUGUAAAUGUAGCUCUAAGGGUAGAUUCAGAGCUGUCCUGGGCAGCGAGUUCUGGGCUCCCAUUCCCGGAAGGCUUACCCUAUUUAUGGGGCGAAGCCACCACAAAGCUCAAAUCUGGCUCCACACCACCCUGAGUCCGCCUGGGUGACCUGGGCUGGGAACGUUCGCUGUUCUCCUGGACAACCCAGGAGUGAGACGUGAUGCGAUAUUCCAGGCUAUCCCUUUGAGUUCUAAGUAAAACCGCUCAGAUAAGUCCCAGGAUUCCGGGUCUUUCAGACUGGUGGUCUCUGUUCCCGUCCAGUUUUGAUAUCCUGCCUGUAGGUCGCUGGCUUCUAUGUAUCUGCCGGCUCUGAAGUUUCACCAGGUGGACGCUGGGGAGCGGGCUCCCAGGUUUAAGCCUCUGCCUCCCACAAGGCUUUACAACUUUUCUGGUUAACCCACCCAGCCCAGCAAGGUUGGAGGGCGCAUCCGCUGCUGCCUUGGUUCCCAGUGUUUGUGGAAACACAGAGUGGCCAGAGGGUGACGGGAAACGCGACAGCCGCGCUCCUGGCUGAACCAGCAGGAUGGGAAGACAGAACUUACUUUGUACUUGAUAGUUUCAUUGUUGAGACUGCUCGAUUUCCUGGAAAUACACUCACCAUGAUGUUUUCCGGAGCAAAUCGUCCCUUAGCUUUUCUUUCCCCCUCCCCUUUAGGAGUUAGACCUCGGAGUCUGGAGCUUGAGUGUAUCCUCCUCGUAGGCAGAGACUAUGAAAUGGUAGCAGGCAAAGGAAAGACCGUGUGUGGGGUGGUGUGCAGAAGGCACCAGCUCUAUGCAAUGAAUUCCGACGACUUAAUUUAAUUUUCUGGUUUCCGCGUUACCGAGUGUCUCUGCCAUACAAUGCUGUUAGUAUUGGAACCAUGCUUGAUGUAACUCAUUAUAUGCAGCAAGUUGGAGGGAGUAUUGAUUUCUACACGGUGCUUGUCGCUUCACGGAGAGCCUUGCUUGAGGAGGCAUGUUAUUUGUUAAUUGAACUUUACCAGUUACAUGAUUAAACACAUGUAUUUAGAACUGGAGACUAGUGAUGUCUUAGCAGCUGAUGGAUAGAUUUUCAACAUGUGAGAAUUUUUUCUCUUUAAAAAUGUUAUUUAUCAUUUAAUCACUGUGUACCGAGAGUGCCUCAUCACACUGUGCAGAUUUGUUUCUGGGAGUUUAUAAUGAAUGCAGGCUCCACAGAUCUGGCUCUCAUCCUUAUGUUUGCCCACAAAUGAAGGCCUUUUAUCUCUUGAGUUUAAAGUCAGAUUGCGCACCUAUCUGUUUUUCUCCAGAGAUUGAAAGUUGGUUUUUGUAGACAUCUCUUUUCUUCUGGCUGUCAUAAAUCAUUUGGUAUUGUAAUGCCAUUAAACUCUAUGGCAUAUUUGUU
rnacentral:lncRNA from 1 species